rnacentral:lncRNA from 1 species
UAUUAUUUUUAUUUUUUUAAAUCAGGAUUAUGGAUAAAGUUACAUAUUGAUUAAUAGCAUAUGGACAAUAAUUUCCAUGGUAAUUGUUUUUCAAAAAGUGAUGGAGAAUUGCAUAGGUGCAGUUAGUAGAGGUGGUGGGAAGGGGUAUGAAAGAUUAUUACAAAAUCCUAUCUGCAUCUAAGCUACAUGGCUUCCCUUGUUUGGGUGUCUAUGUAUAUGGAAUACUCGAAUUUGUAGAUUAAUUAUAUCUAGAGUGACCAUUCUUUGAUCCCAAAAAUAAGAAGACACAUGCCCGAUUAUCGAUUAAGGGUUAAUGGACGGGGGAUUUGUGUUAAUAUCUGGACAUUCAUAGUAUUUGCAGGAUUACAAAAAAAGUUAAGGAUGGAUUUUGGAAAAACAUUGUAGAGAAUAUUAUAAAGGCUAACACAGGAUUAUGGAUAAAAUUACAGAUUGAUUUUUGUGAAACCUUGUAUGAAGGUUAUAUAAUAUGUUAAUAGUGAGAGGCAAUUCAACUAUGGGAAGUCAAGAUCAAAGGUCAUUGUUUCAAAACACUAAUUGAGAAAUAUGUAUAACUCAAAUUAGUAACGUUUAUUCUUCAUUUUUAGGAAAAACUAUUUAAAUUGGAGGUUAGGCCUCUACCGAAUGUCUAUUCUAGUUUAUUUUGGUUUUUCACUAUUUUUAAUUUUAACUUUAUUUUAGAUCAAAUUAACCCACACACAAAAAAAACGGUAGAAAAAGUUUUGGGUAAUUCUGGAGAUAAAAAGAGGAAAUGUACGGUGGAAACAAAACGGUGUUUUACACUACUAAUUUAUAUUAUGAAAAUGUAUUAAUGUUGAAACUCUUAUUUUUGACAAUUACCAUUCUUUGUAUAUAGCGAUAUCGAUAUAUAGGUACUGUAGUGGUAUAAGUGUAUUAACGCAUUUAAAACAAUAUUAUAAAGUUUCCUUUUAUACAUAUAUAUUUAAACUAUUCAACUAGACAUUAAGAGGUUGUCUUUUAUAACUCACGACUGAAUACAAUUUUUCUUUAAA